rnacentral:rRNA from 1 species
UGGGGAAUAUUGGACAAUGGGCGCAAGCCUGAUCCAGCCAUGCCGCGUGAGUGAUGAAUGCCCUAGGGUUGUAAAGCUCUUUCACCGGUGAAGAUAAUGACGGUAACCGGAGAAGAAGCCCCGGCUAACUUCGUGCCAGCAGCCGCGGUAAUACGAAGGGGGCUAGCGUUGUUCGGAUUUACUGGGCGUAAAGCGCACGUAGGCGGACUAUUAAGUCAGGGGUGAAAUCCCGGGGCUCAACCCCGGAACUGCCUUUGAUACUGGUAGUCUUGAGUUCGAGAGAGGUGAGUGGAAUUCCGAGUGUAGAGGUGAAAUUCGUAGAUAUUCGGAGGAACACCAGUGGCGAAGGCGGCUCACUGGCUCGAUACUGACGCUGAGGUGCGAAAGCGUGGGGAGCAAACAGG